rnacentral:rRNA from 1 species
GCCAGCAGUCAUAUCACCAUCCAGCUCACAACUGGCAGCCCACUGAAGCUCAGCAGGCAUGAGCCUGGUCAGUACUUGGAUGGGAGACCUCUUGGGGGAAAAAAGGUUACUGCUGGAA